UACGUAGGGUGCGAGCGUUGUCCGGAAUUAUUGGGCGUAAAGAGCUCGUAGGCGGUGUGUCACGUCGGCCGUGAAACCUGCAGCUUAACUGUGGGCGUGCGGUCGAUACGGGCAUCACUGGAGUUCGGCAGGGGAGACUGGAAUUCCUGGUGGUAGCGGUGAAAUGCGCAGAUAUCAGGAGGAACACCGGUGGCGAAGGCGGGUCUCUGGGCCGAUACUGACGCUGAGGAGCGAAAGCGUGGGGAGCAAACAGG
rnacentral:rRNA from 1 species